rnacentral:rRNA from 1 species
CUUCGGGUAUUGAGGAUGGCGGACGGGUGAGUAACGCGUAAGGAACUUGCCUCUUGGUCUGGGACAACUGUUGGAAACGACAGCUAAUACCGGAUAUUAUGAGAUUCUCGCAUGGGAAACUUAUGAAAGCUAUAUGCGCCAAGAGAGAGCCUUGCGUUCCAUUAGCUAGUUGGUGGGGUAACGGCCCACCAAGGCGACGAUGGAUAGCCGGCCUGAGAGGGUGAACGGCCACAAGGGGACUGAGACACGGCCCUUACUCCUACGGGAGGCAGCAGUGGGGAAUAUUGGACAAUGGGCCACAAGCCUGAUCCAGCAAUUCUGUGUGCACGAUGAAGGUCUUCGGAUUGUAAAGUGCUUUCAGUUGGGAAGAAGAAAGUGACGGUACCAACAGAAGAAGCGACGGCUAAAUACGUGCCAGCAGCCGCGGUAAUACGUAUGUCGCAAGCGUUAUCCGGAUUUAUUGGGCGUAAAGCGCGUCUAGGCGGAAAAAUAAGUCUGAUGUUAAAAUGCGGGGCUCAACUCCGUAUUGCGUUGGAAACUGUUUUUCUAGAGUACUGGAGAGGUGGGCGGAACUACAAGUGUAGAGGUGAAAUUCGUAGAUAUUUGUAGGAAUGCCGAUGGAGAAGUCAGCUCACUGGACAGAUACUGACGCUAAAGCGCGAAAGCGUGGGGAGCAAACAGGAUUAGAUACCCUGGUAGUCCACGCCGUAAACGAUGAUCACU